rnacentral:snRNA from 1 species
GGAUGUGAGGGCGAUCUGGCUGUGACAUACGUAACCCCAUUCAUCACCAGGUUGAUUCAGCUGAUCUGACUGGCUAGGCGGUAUCGCCUUCCUCCCUCACUGCUCCACGUGCAUCCCUUCCUGAAGCUGCUAGCUUGGUUGAAGAGGACCAUCUUUCUGACAGAAGGAGGACCGUCCUUCGGUCAAGGGUAUACAAGUAGCUGCGUCCCCCUGCUAAAACCUCCAAACUAGUCUCAGUGACUGCCUCUUUGUGUGUUUUCGGUUUCUACCUAAGCACAAUAAAGUGUUCUGGAAUCCCUGUUCUU